rnacentral:lncRNA from 1 species
UUAUUACCAUAUUCACAUUUUAGAAACCAUUUUCAUUCACAUAUCGAAUCAGAUUUUAUGACCCGCUUAAGAGAAAUAAAGUGUUCAGUAAAACAUCUGUAGGUACCCCUCAAAAAGGAAAUUAGCAACACCGAUGUGGUUCGAGCAAGAAACCAUGUUUUUGUCCAGGCGAUAUCCUUUUUCAGACUUUUGGUGAACAAUUAUCAUUAAGUUUUUUGGUAUCCCCUUUCCUUUUUUACCCUGUGGAAUCAAGCUAAGAGAAUAUUACACCAAAUGCCAG